UACAGAGGGUGCGAGCGUUAAUCGGAAUUACUGGGCGUAAAGGGCGCGUAGGCGGCCUGCUAAGUCGAACGUGAAAUCCCUGGGCUCAACCCAGGAACUGCGUCCGAUACUGGUUGGCUUGAAUCCGGGAGAGGGAUGUGGAAUUCCAGGUGUAGCGGUGAAAUGCGUAGAUAUCUGGAGGAACACCGGUGGCGAAGGCGACAUCCUGGACCGGCAUUGACGCUGAGGCGCGAAAGCCAGGGGAGCAAACGGG
rnacentral:rRNA from 1 species